rnacentral:rRNA from 1 species
UACGUAGGGUGCAGGCGUUAAUCGGAAUUACUGGGCGUAAAGCGUGCGCAGGCGGUCUUUUAAGUCAGAUGUGAAAUCCCCGGGCUUAACCUGGGAACUGCGUUUGAAACUGGAAGGCUAGAGUGUGGCAGAGGGGGUGGAAUUCCGACGUGUAGCAGUGAAAUGCGUAGAUAUGUGGAGGAACACCGAUGGCGAAGGCAGCCCCCUGGGCUAACACGUGACGCUCAUGCACGAAAGCGUGGGGAGCAAACAGG